rnacentral:misc_RNA from 1 species
AACGCACAUUGCGCCCCCUGGUAUUCCGGGGGGCAUGCCUGUCCGAGCGUCAUUGCUGCCCUCAAGCACGGCUUGUGUGUUGGGCCCUCGUCCCCCGGGACGGGCCCGAAAGGCAGCGGCGGCACCGCGUCCGGUCCUCGAGCGUAUGGGGCUUCGUCACCCGCUCUGUAGGCCCGGCCGGCGCCUGCCGACACCAUCAAUCUUUUUUCCAGGUUGACCUCGGAUCAGGUAGGGAUACCCGCUGAACUUAA